GCAUAAUAAUUAUAGUUUACAGUUGCGGAAAAUAACUCUUAAGGCUGUUAAAUCCUUCGAAUAAACGAAUUUCAACCCAUUAAUAUUUCCUAUGUAUUUGUGCCAUCUAGUGGGUGGUAGCAAAAAUUAAAAAAACUUAACGAAUCAGAACUGCGCCACCUAAUGUUAGCUGAAAACAUUUUAUUUCGCUGAUAAUAGGCUUAAUUACUAUUGGUGAUUUUCUUAUCGUUUUAGGUGUGUUUUAUAGUUCACGAUACAAGCAAGUUUACCCGGAGUAUGUUACAUGUUUAAGCCAUCAACAUCCACCAAACAAGACGUUAACCAGGUAACUGGUGAACAGUGAAAUUAAAAAAAAAUCAGUGUUGUAAGGGUUCCUGGUCGUCAGAAUGCUACAACUUAUAGAACCGAAUUUAUAUUUAGGGUGUCGACAAGCAGCUGAAGAUAUAAAUGUUCUUAAGAACCACAACAUUACACACAUCUUAACUAUUGAAGAUGAACCGUUGUCAGAAGAAAUUACAAAGAAUGAAUGCUUCACUACAAAACAUAUCUUUCUGUAUGAUUUACAAUACAAUCAAAAUCUAAUAAGUCACCUUGAUGACACCUACACUUUCAUCUCCGAAGGACUGACAAAAGGAACUGUAUUGGUCCACUGUCUAAUGGGCGUCUCCAGAAGCGCCUCAGUUGUAAUAGCUUUUAUGAUGAAGAAAUACCACCUAAUGUAUGAGGAAGCCUAUGAAAAAGUAAAUAGAAAGAGAAGAAUAUGUCCAAAUCCAGGAUUUGAAGCUCAGUUAAAAUUAUAUGAAAAAAUUGGUUAUCAGCUAGAUACCCAGCAUACCAGUUAUAGAUUAUUUAGAUUACGAACAGCCGCUAGGCAAAUCAAUAAUCAUGGUUUACUACAUCAAGAUUCCUUAGAUUUAAUUAUACCAGAUCCUGGACUAGCUGAACCAAAGUCAGGACAUUUUGCCUAUUACUGCAGCCAAUGCUCGAGGAUUUUAGCGCCCAAAUCGAGUUGUAUUCCACAUGAAAAUGAGAAUGAAAUUUGUGAAAAAUCGUUUUUUGUCAUGCCAAUAGCCUGGAUGAAGCAUGUUGCUAAAACUACAAAAAACAAGCUGCUGUGCCCAAAUUGUAGCACGGAAGUGGGGUCGUUUAACUGGGGCGAAGAUGGCAUUCAGUGUGAAUGUUCUGUUAAAAUUUCUCCGGCCUUUUGUUUAAUGCCCCCUCAAGUAAAAUAUCGUUCAGAGUAAGUUUACAUUUUAUCUUUGUCUUUAUAUAUAGCGUAAUAUUUUGUUAAAAAAAUGACCUAAUUUUAAUAUUUAUAUACUUUAACUUAUUUGUAAAUUAUUUAUUUUAUUGUAAUAAAACUGUUUAUAUUUUA